rnacentral:tRNA from 1 species
AAAGAAGUAAGUUAACUAAACUAUUAGCCUUCAAAGUUAAAAAUGGGAUUCCUUUCUUUG